UACGUAGGGGGCGAGCGUUGCCCGGAAUUACUGGGCGUAAAGGGCGCGCAGGCGGCCGUGUAAGUCCGCUGUGAAAGACCGGGGCUCAACCCCGGGGUGUCAGCGGGGACUGCUCGGCUGGAGUCUCGGAGAGGGAUGCGGAAUACCUGGUGUAGCGGUGGAAUGCGUAGAGAUCAGGUGGAACACCGAUGGCGAAGGCAGCAUCCUGGACGGGUACUGACGCUGAGGUGCGAAAGCGUGGGGAGCAAACAGG
rnacentral:rRNA from 1 species